rnacentral:rRNA from 1 species
ACUAAAUAGAUACCCGGGUAGUCCAUGCCGUAAACUAUGGAUACUAGCUGUUGGGGGUAUCGACCCCUCCGGUAGCGAAAGCUAAACGCGUUAAAGUAUCCCGCCUGUGGAGUACGAUCGCAAGAUUAAAACAUAAAGGAAUUGACGGGGACCCGCACAAGCGGUGGAGCGUGUUCUUUAAUUCGAUGCUAAACGAAGAACCUUACCAGGGCUUGACAUCCCUUGAAUUACUCCGAAAGGAGUGAGUGCUUUAUUGAGCAAGGUGACAGGUGAUGCAUGGCCGUCGUCAGCUCGUGUCGUGAGAUGUUUGG